UGUGAUUUCUGCCCAGUGCUCU
rnacentral:ncRNA from 2 species